UAGGUGUACAUCUCAGAGCUCUCUAAGAAUC
rnacentral:piRNA from 1 species